rnacentral:rRNA from 1 species
GACGAACGCUGGCGGCGUGCUUAACACAUGCAAGUCGAGCGGUAAGGCCCUUUCGGGGGUACACGAGCGGCGAACGGGUGAGUAACACGUGGGUGACCUGCCCUCAGCUCUGGGAUAAGCCUGGGAAACUGGGUCUAAUACCGGAUAUGACUCCAUGACGCAUGUCGUGGGGUGGAAAGCCUUGUGCGGCUGGGGAUGGGCCCGCGGCCUAUCAGCUUGUUGGUGGGGUGANGGCCUACCAAGGCGACGACGGGUAGCCGGCCUGAGAGGGCGACCGGCCACACUGGGACUGAGACACGGCCCAGACUCCUACGGGAGGCAGCAGUGGGGAAUAUUGGACAAUGGGCGCAAGCCUGAUCCAGCGAUGCCGCGUGUGUGAAGAAGGCCUGCGGGGUUGUAGAGCACUUUCAGUAGGGAAGAAAACCCCGAGUGCUAAUAUCACUCGGUCUUG